rnacentral:rRNA from 1 species
UGGGGAAUCUUGCGCAAUGGGCGAAAGCCUGACGCAGCGACGCCGCGUGGGUGAUGAAGGCCUUCGGGUUGUAAAGCCCUGUGGGGAGGGACGAAUAAGGACGACCCAAUACGUCGUCAGAUGACGGUACCUCCUUAGCAAGCACCGGCUAACUCUGUGCCAGCAGCCGCGGUAAGACAGAGGGUGCAAACGUUGUUCGGAAUUACUGGGCGUAAAGCGCGUGUAGGCGGUCUGGUAAGUCGGGUGUGAA